UGACUUGAUAGCUCAGUUGGUAGAGCACUGCACCGGUACCGCAGAGGUCAUGGGUUCGAAUCCCGUUCAAGCAU
rnacentral:tRNA from 1 species